rnacentral:rRNA from 1 species
CACGCCCUAAACGAUGUCAACUAGGUGUUGGUGGGGUUAAACCCAUUAGUACCGUAGCUAACGCGUGAAGUUGACCGCCUGGGGAGUACGGCCGCAAGGUUAAAACUCAAAGGAAUUGACGGGGACCCGCACAAGCGGUGGAUGAUGUGGAUUAAUUCGAUGCAACGCGAAAAACCUUACCUACCCUUGACAUGUCCAGAAGCCUGAAGAGAUUUGGGUGUGCUCGAAAGAGAACUGGAACACAGGUGC